GGCGACCGGCGCACGGGUGCGUAACGCGUAUCAAACCUGCCUCAUACUCGGGGAUAGCCUUGCGAAAGUAAGAUUAAUACCCGAUGUUGUUGCUUUCUCGCAUGGGAGAGUAACCAAAGAUUUAUCGGUAUGAGAUGGUGAUGCGUCCGAUUAGGUAGUAGGCGGGGUAACGGCCCACCUAGCCUUCGAUCGGUAGGGGUUCUGAGAGGAAGGUCCCCCACACUGGAACUGAGACACGGUCCAGACUCCUACGGGAGGCAGCAGUGAGGAAUAUUGGUCAAUGGGCGAGAGCCUGAACCAGCCAAGUAGCGUGCAGGAUGACGGCCCUCCGGGUUGUAAACUGCUUUUAGUUGGGAAUAAAAAAAGGGACUUGUCCCUUCUUGUAUGUACCUUCAGAAAAAGGACCGGCUAAUUCCGUGCCAGCAGCCGCGGUAAUACGGAAGGUCCAGGCGUUAUCCGGAUUUAUUGGGUUUAAAGGGAGCGUAGGCGGAUUGUUAAGUCAGCGGUUAAAGGGUGUGGCUCAACCAUGCAUUGCCGUUGAAACUGGCGAUCUUGAGUGCAGACAGGGAUGCCGGAAUUCGUGGUGUAGCGGUGAAAUGCUUAGAUAUCACGAAGAACUCCGAUCGCGAAGGCAGGUGUCCGGGCUGCAACUGACGCUGAGGCUCGAAAGUGUGGGUAUCAAACAGGAUUAGAUACCCUGGUAGUCCACACAGUAAACGAUGUAUACUCGCGGUUUGCGAUAGACAGUAAGCCGCCAAGCGAAAGCAUUAAGUAUACCACCUGGGGAGUACGCCGGCAACGGUGAAACUCAAAGGAAUUGACGGGGGCCCGCACAAGCGGAGGAACAUGUGGUUUAAUUCGAUGAUACGCGAGGACGUGCCGUGAGGUGUCGGCUUAAGUGCCAUAACGAGCGCAACCCUUCUCCUCGGUUGCCAUCGGGUAAUGCCGGGCACUCCGUGGACACUGCCAUCGUAAGAUGUGAGGAAGGUGGGGAUGACGUCAAAUCAGCACGGCCCUUACGUCCGGGGCUACACACGUGUUACAAUGGGGGGUACAGAAGGCCGCUACCCGGCGACGGGAUGCUAAUCUUUAAAACCUCUCUCAGUUCGGAUCGGAGUCUGCAACCCGACUCCGUGAAGCUGGAUUCGCUAGUAAUCGCGCAUCAGCCAUGGCGCGGUGAAUACGUUCCCGGGCCUUGUACACACCGCCCGUCAAGCCAUGAAAGCCGGGGGUG
rnacentral:rRNA from 1 species